GAUGAACGCUGGCGGCGUGCCUAAUACAUGCAAGUCGAGCGAACGGACGAGAAUCUUGCUUCUCUGAUGUUAGCGGCGGACGGGUGAGUAACACGUGGAUAACCUACCUAUAAGACUGGGAUAACUUCGGGAAACCGGAUCUAAUACCGGAUGAUCUUUUGAACCGCAUGGUUCAACAGUGAAAUACGGUCUUGCUGUCUCUUAUUGAUGGAUCCGCGCUGCUUUAGCUAGUUGGUAAGGUAACGGCUUACCAAGGCUACGAUGCAUAGCCGACCUGAGAGGGUGAUCGGCCACACUGGAACUGAGACACGGUCCAGACUCCUACGGGAGGCAGCAGUAGGGAAUCUUCCGCAAUGGGCGAAAGCCUGACGGAGCAACGCCGCGUGAGUGAUGAAGGUCUUCGGAUCGUAAAACUCUGUUAUUAGGGAAGAACAGAUGUGUAAGUAACUGUGCAGAUCUUGACGGUACCUAAUCAGAAAGCCACGGCUAACUACGUG
rnacentral:rRNA from 1 species